rnacentral:rRNA from 1 species
AACGGGUGUAGCAAUACAUCAGUGGCAAACGGGUGAGUAAUGUAAAGGAAUCUCCCCAACAGUACGGAAUAACUCUGGGAAACCAGUGCUAAUACCGUAUAUUCCGCUUCGGCGGGAAAGAUUUAUCGCUGUUGGAUGAGCCUUUAUCGGAUUAGCUAGUUGGCGGGGUAAAAGCCCACCAAGGCAAUGAUCCGUAGCUGGUCUGAGAGGAUGAUCAGCCACACUGGAACUGAGACACGGUCCAGACUCC